rnacentral:rRNA from 1 species
CAGCCGCCGCGGUAAUACGUAGGUCCCGAGCGUCGUCCGGAUUUAUUGGGCGUAAAGCGAGCGCAGGCGGUUAGAUAAGUCUGAAGUUAAAGGCUGUGGCUUAACCAUAGUACGCUUUGGAAACUGUUUAACUUGAGUGCAAGAGGGGAGAGUGGAAUUCCAUGUGUAGCGGUGAAAUGCGUAGAUAUAUGGAGGAACACCGGUGGCGAAAGCGGCUCUCUGGCUUGUAACUGACGCCGAGGCUCGAAAGCGUGGGGAGCAAACAGGAUUAGAUACCCCUGUAGUCCCUGUCUCUUAUACA